CCGGGAGGUGGAGCUUGCAGUGAGCCGAGAUCAUGCCAGUGCACUCCAGCCUGGGUGACAGAGCGAGACUCCGUCUCAAAAAAAAAAAAAAAAAAAAAAAUACAGCCAGGCACAGUGGCUCACACCUGUAAUCCCACCACUUUGGGAGGCUGAGGCAGGCGGAUCACCUGAGGUGGGGAGUUCGAGACCAGCCUGAUCAACAUGGAGAAAACCUGUCUCUCCUAAAAAUACAAAAUUAACCGAGCAUGUUGGCGCAUGCCUGUAAUCUCAGCUACUUGGAAGGCUGAGGCAGGAGAAUUGCUUCAAACUGGGCAGAGGUUGCAGUGAGCCAAGGUUGACCCACUGCACUCCAGCCUGGGCAACAAGAGCAAAACUCCAUCUCAAAAAAAAAAAAAAAGAAAGAAACAGUGCCGAAAAAUCACAAUGAUUUGAGUUCUUCAAAAACCUUUGAUUGGCUGCAUUGGCUCUGUUCUGCAUAUUACUAGACUUCUUACAUGAUCACAAGUAACCACUAAUUGGUUAAAACCAAAGAGAGAGAGAGAGAGAGUGUGUGUGUGUGUGUGUGUGUUUGGUUGGGGGGUGUUGUGUUAGCUUCCAGGUGAAUGCAUUAUCUGUUAAUCCUGUUUAUUGAUCUGUUUUUAUAAGUGCUCCAUGAUUCUCUGAAAACAGUAUACUAUGUAUCUAAUUUUUGGAUACAGGAUGGACAUACGUACUCAAACUGUGUUUUUCAAUUUGUACUGUAUUUGUUUCUCUCGACCUGACUUAGUGAUAGAGGUAUAUUAAAGUCUUCCACUAGCAUGGUAGAUUAACAAAUUCUUUCUGUAAUUCUGUCAUUUUUACUUUAUAUAUGUUUAUGUGUAAUGUAACUAGGUGCGUAGAGGUUUAGAUAUUCUCCUGUGAAUUUAUUUAUUUUCAGUAGGGGCCAU
rnacentral:lncRNA from 1 species